AACGAACGCUGGCGGCGUGCCUAACACAUGCAAGUCGAGCGAGAAAGUCCGCAAGGAUGAGUACAGCGGCGCACGGGUGCGUAACACGUGGGUAAUCUGCCCUGAAGCCCGGAAUAACCUCCCGAAAGGGAAGCUAAUGCCGGAUAAGACCACGGGAGCCUCGGCUCCUACGGGAAAAGGUGGCCUCUGUACACAAGCUAUCACUUCAGGAUGAGCCCGCGGCCCAUCAGCUCGUUGGCGGGGUAACGGCCCACCAAGGCUACGACGGGUAGCUGGUCUGAGAGGACGAUCAGCCACACUGGAACUGAGACACGGUCCAGACUCCUACGGGAGGCAGCAGUGGGGAAUCUUGCGCAAUGGGCGAAAGCCUGACGCAGCAACGCCGCGUGUGUGAUGAAGGUCUUCGGAUCGUAAAGCACUGUCGGGAGGAAAGAACAAGCCUGUGGCUAACAUCCACGGGCCUUGACGGUACCUCCAAAGGAAGCACCGGCUAACUCUGUGCCAGCAGCCGCCGUAAAAC
rnacentral:rRNA from 1 species